rnacentral:rRNA from 1 species
AUUGAACGCUGGCGGCAUGCUUUACACAUGCAAGUCGAACGGUAACAGGCCGCAAGGUGCUGACGAGUGGCGAACGGGUGAGUAAUGCAUCGGAACGUGCCCAGUCGUGGGGGAUAACGCAGCGAAGGCUGCGCUAAUACCGCAUACGAUCUAUGGAUGAAAGCGGGGGACCGUAAGGCCUCGCGCGAUUGGAGCGGCCGAUGUCAGAUUAGGUAGUUGGUGGGGGAAAGGCUCACCAAGCCAACGAUCUGUAGCUGGUCUGAGAGGACGCCCAGCCACACUGGGAGUGAGACACGGCCCAGACUCCUACGGGAGGCAGCAGUGGGGAAUUUUGGACAAUGGGCGCAAGCCUGAUCCAGCAAUGCCGCGUGCAGGAAGAAGGCCUUCGGGUUGUAAACUGCUUUUGUACGGAACGAAAAGGCUCUGGUUAAUACCUGGGGCUCAUGACGGUACCGUAAGAAUAAGCACCGGCUAACUACGUGCCAGCCGCCGCUGUAA